rnacentral:rRNA from 1 species
AGUGAACGCUGGCGGUAGGCCUAACACAUGCAAGUCGAACGGCAGCACAGUAAGAGCUUGCUCUUCGGGUGGCGAGUGGCGGACGGGUGAGGAAUACAUCGGAAUCUACUUUUUCGUGGGGGAUAACGUAGGGAAACUUACGCUAAUACCGCAUACGACCUACGGGUGAAAGCAGGGGAUCUUCGGACCUUGCGCGAUUGAAUGAGCCGAUGUCGGAUUAGCUAGUUGGCGGGGUAAAGGCCCACCAAGGCGACGAUCCGUAGCUGGUCUGAGAGGAUGAUCAGCAACACUGGAACUGAGACACGGUCCAGACUCCUCGGGGAGGCAGAAGUGGGGAAUAUUGGACAAUGGGCGCAAGCCUGAUCCAGCCAUACCGCGUGGGUGAAGAAGGCCUUCGGGUUGUAAAGCCCUUUUGUUGGGAAAGAAAAGCAGCAGGUUAAUACCCCGCUGUUCUGACGGUACCCAAAGAAUAAGCACCGGCUAACUUCGUG